CCUACGGGGGGCUGCAGUGGGGAAUAUUGCACAAUGGGCGCAAGCCUGAUGCAGCCAUGCCGCGUGUAUGAAGAAGGCCUUCGGGUUGUAAAGUACUUUCAGCGAGGAGGAAGGCAUUGUGGUUAAUAACCGCAGUGAUUGACGUUACUCGCAGAAGAAGCACCGGCUAACUCCGUGCCAGCAGCCGCGGUAAUACGGAGGGUGCAAGCGUUAAUCGGAAUUACUGGGCGUAAAGCGCACGCAGGCGGUCUGUCAAGUCGGAUGUGAAAUCCCCGGGCUCAACCUGGGAACUGCAUUCGAAACUGGCAGGCUAGAGUCUUGUAGAGGGGGGUAGAAUUCCAGGUGUAGCGGUGAAAUGCGUAGAGAUCUGGAGGAAUACCGGUGGCGAAGGCGGCCCCCUGGACAAAGACUGACGCUCAGGUGCGAAAGCGUGGGGAGCAAACAGGAUUAGAUACCCCAGUAGUC
rnacentral:rRNA from 1 species